rnacentral:rRNA from 1 species
UCAGAGUUUGAUCCUGGCUCAGUGUGAAAAACUCCGGUGGUAUAAGAUGGACCCGCGUUGGAUUAGCUUGUUGGUGGGGUAACGGCCCACCAAGGCGACGAUCCAUAGCCGGCCUGAGAGGGUGAACGGCCACAUUGGGACUGAGACACGGCCCAGACUCCUACGGGAGGCAGCAUG